rnacentral:rRNA from 2 species
UUAAGCGACUAAGCGUACACGGUGGAUGCCCUGGCAGUCAGAGGCGAUGAAGGACGUGCUAAUCUGCGAUAAGCGUCGGUAAGGUGAUAUGAACCGUUAUAACCGGCGAUUUCCGAAUGGGGAAACCCAGUGUGAUUCGUCACACUAUCAUUAACUGAAUCCAUAGGUUAAUGAGGCGAACCGGGGGAACUGAAACAUCUAAGUACCCCGAGGAAAAGAAAUCAACCGAGAUUCCCCCAGUAGCGGCGAGCGAACGGGGAGCAGCCCAGAGCCUGAAUCAGUGUGUGUGUUAGUGGAAGCGUCUGGAAAGGCGCGCGAUACAGGGUGACAGCCCCGUACACAAAAAUGCACAUGCUGUGAGCUCGAUGAGUAGGGCGGGACACGUGGUAUCCUGUCUGAAUAUGGGGGGACCAUCCUCCAAGGCUAAAUACUCCUGACUGACCGAUAGUGAACCAGUACCGUGAGGGAAAGGCGAAAAGAACCCCGGCGAGGGGAGUGAAAAAGAACCUGAAACCGUGUACGUACAAGCAGUGGGAGCACGCUUAGGCGUGUGACUGCGUACCUUUUGUAUAAUGGGUCAGCGACUUAUAUUCUGUAGCAAGGUUAACCGAAUAGGGGAGCCGAAGGGAAACCGAGUCUUAACUGGGCGUUAAGUUGCAGGGUAUAGACCCGAAACCCGGUGAUCUAGCCAUGGGCAGGUUGAAGGUUGGGUAACACUAACUGGAGGACCGAACCGACUAAUGUUGAAAAAUUAGCGGAUGACUUGUGGCUGGGGGUGAAAGGCCAAUCAAACCGGGAGAUAGCUGGUUCUCCCCGAAAGCUAUUUAGGUAGCGCCUCGUGAAUUCAUCUCCGGGGGUAGAGCACUGUUUCGGCAAGGGGGUCAUCCCGACUUACCAACCCGAUGCAAACUGCGAAUACCGGAGAAUGUUAUCACGGGAGACACACGGCGGGUGCUAACGUCCGUCGUGAAGAGGGAAACAACCCAGACCGCCAGCUAAGGUCCCAAAGUCAUGGUUAAGUGGGAAACGAUGUGGGAAGGCCCAGACAGCCAGGAUGUUGGCUUAGAAGCAGCCAUCAUUUAAAGAAAGCGUAAUAGCUCACUGGUCGAGUCGGCCUGCGCGGAAGAUGUAACGGGGCUAAACCAUGCACCGAAGCUGCGGCAGCGACGCUGAUGCGUUGUUGGGUAGGGGAGCGUUCUGUAAGCCUGUGAAGGUGUGCUGUGAGGCAUGCUGGAGGUAUCAGAAGUGCGAAUGCUGACAUAAGUAACGAUAAAGCGGGUGAAAAGCCCGCUCGCCGGAAGACCAAGGGUUCCUGUCCAACGUUAAUCGGGGCAGGGUGAGUCGACCCCUAAGGCGAGGCCGAAAGGCGUAGUCGAUGGGAAACAGGUUAAUAUUCCUGUACUUGGUGUUACUGCGAAGGGGGGACGGAGAAGGCUAUGUUGGCCGGGCGACGGUUGUCCCGGUUUAAGCGUGUAGGCUGGUUUUCCAGGCAAAUCCGGAAAAUCAAGGCUGAGGCGUGAUGACGAGGCACUACGGUGCUGAAGCAACAAAUGCCCUGCUUCCAGGAAAAGCCUCUAAGCAUCAGGUAACAUCAAAUCGUACCCCAAACCGACACAGGUGGUCAGGUAGAGAAUACCAAGGCGCUUGAGAGAACUCGGGUGAAGGAACUAGGCAAAAUGGUGCCGUAACUUCGGGAGAAGGCACGCUGAUAUGUAGGUGAAGUCCCUCGCGGAUGGAGCUGAAAUCAGUCGAAGAUACCAGCUGGCUGCAACUGUUUAUUAAAAACACAGCACUGUGCAAACACGAAAGUGGACGUAUACGGUGUGACGCCUGCCCGGUGCCGGAAGGUUAAUUGAUGGGGUCAGCGCAAGCGAAGCUCUUGAUCGAAGCCCCGGUAAACGGCGGCCGUAACUAUAACGGUCCUAAGGUAGCGAAAUUCCUUGUCGGGUAAGUUCCGACCUGCACGAAUGGCGUAAUGAUGGCCAGGCUGUCUCCACCCGAGACUCAGUGAAAUUGAACUCGCUGUGAAGAUGCAGUGUACCCGCGGCAAGACGGAAAGACCCCGUGAACCUUUACUAUAGCUUGACACUGAACAUUGAGCCUUGAUGUGUAGGAUAGGUGGGAGGCUUUGAAGUGUGGACGCCAGUCUGCAUGGAGCCGGCCUUGAAAUACCACCCUUUAAUGUUUGAUGUUCUAACGUUGACCCGUGAUCCGGGUUGCGGACAGUGUCUGGUGGGUAGUUUGACUGGGGCGGUCUCCUCCUAAAGAGUAACGGAGGAGCACGAAGGUUGGCUAAUCCUGGUCGGACAUCAGGAGGUUAGUGCAAUGGCAUAAGCCAGCUUGACUGCGAGCGUGACGGCGCGAGCAGGUGCGAAAGCAGGUCAUAGUGAUCCGGUGGUUCUGAAUGGAAGGGCCAUCGCUCAACGGAUAAAAGGUACUCCGGGGAUAACAGGCUGAUACCGCCCAAGAGUUCAUAUCGACGGCGGUGUUUGGCACCUCGAUGUCGGCUCAUCACAUCCUGGGGCUGAAGUAGGUCCCAAGGGUAUGGCUGUUCGCCAUUUAAAGUGGUACGCGAGCUGGGUUUAGAACGUCGUGAGACAGUUCGGUCCCUAUCUGCCGUGGGCGCUGGAGAACUGAGGGGGGCUGCUCCUAGUACGAGAGGACCGGAGUGGACGCAUCACUGGUGUUCGGGUUGUCAUGCCAAUGGCACUGCCCGGUAGCUAAAUGCGGAAGAGAUAAGUGCUGAAAGCAUCUAAGCACGAAACUUGCCCCGAGAUGAGUUCUCCCUGACUCCUUGAGAGUCCUGAAGGAACGUUGAAGACGACGACGUUGAUAGGCCGGGUGUGUAAGCGCAGCGAUGCGUUGAGCUAACCGGUACUAAUGAACCGUGAGGCUUAACCUU